rnacentral:rRNA from 1 species
UACAGAGGGUGCGAGCGUUAAUCGGAAUUACUGGGCGUAAAGCGCACGUAGGCGGAUUUGUAAGUCAGGGGUGAAAUCCCGGGGCUCAACCUCGGAACUGCCUUUGAUACUGCAAGUCUCGAGUCCGAUAGAGGUGAGUGGAAUUCCUAGUGUAGAGGUGAAAUUCGUAGAUAUUAGGAAGAACACCAGUGGCGAAGGCGGCUCACUGGAUCGGUACUGACGCUGAGGUGCGAAAGCGUGGGGAGCAAACAGG